rnacentral:lncRNA from 1 species
AUGUACAACAUCAGUAACUUCAGGUCUGAGGACAGUGGACAUUACCACUGUGAGGCCUGGAAUGGAAGAGGAUCUAGGAACUCUACAGCUCUGAUGAUCAUUAUACCAGGGAAACAAACCUCAGUUCUGACUGCAGCUGUAGGAAUCAUUGUGGUUGUUCUGGUUGUCAUCCUCUGUCUCUCUGGCUUCAUGUGGUUCAGGAAGAAGGCCUCCAAACCCUMCAACACAAGAGACACAGCAGACGAUGUACAGGUGAGUCUGUUGGAAUCAGAAGGUGACUGUGAUGACUGUAUUCUUUGUGGAACAUUUCCACUCCUCAUGUUGUCUGUUCUCUCUCUCCAUCAGGGAGACUCUAGUCCAGUGUAUGAAAACGUCUCAAGCAUGUCCAUCAACU